GGAUCGCUAGCUCAACGGUAGAGCAGUUGACUCUUAAUCAAUUGGUUCCCAGUUCGAAUCUGGGGCGGUCCACCA
rnacentral:tRNA from 1 species